rnacentral:rRNA from 1 species
CUAACACAUGCAAGUCGAGCGGUAACAGAUCUAGCUUGCUGGAUGCUGACGAGCGGCGGACGGGUGAGUAAUGCAUAGGAAUCUGCCCGGUAGUGGGGGAUAACCUGGGGAAACCCAGGCUAAUACCGCAUACGUCCUACGGGAGAAAGGGGGCUCCGGCUCCCGCUAUGGGAUGAGCCUAUGUCGGAUUAGCUAGUUGGUGAGGUAACGGCUCACCAAGGCCGCGAUCCGUAGCUGGUCUGAGAGGAUGAUCAGCCACAUCGGGACUGAGACACGGCCCGAACUCCUACGGGAGGCAGCAGUGGGGAAUAUUGGACAAUGGGGGAAACCCUGAUCCAGCCAUGCCGCGUGUGUGAAGAAGGCCCUCGGGUUGUAAAGCACUUUCAGCGAGGAAGAACGCCUAGCGGUUAAUACCCGCUAGGAAAGACAUCACUCGCAGAAGAAGCACCGGCUAACUCCGUGCCAGCAGCCGCGGUAAUACGGAGGGUGCAAGCGUUAAUCGGAAUUACUGGGCGUAAAGCGCGCGUAGGUGGCUUGGUAAGCCGGUUGUGAAAGCCCCGGGCUCAACCUGGGAACGGCAUCCGGAACUGUCAAGCUAGAGUGCAGGAGAGGAAGGUAGAA